rnacentral:rRNA from 1 species
UACAGAGGGGGCAAGCGUUAUUCGGAAUUAUUGGGCGUAAAGGGCGCGUAGGCGGCCUGACAAGUGGAAGGUGAAAUCCCUCGGCUUAUCCGAGGAACUGCCCUCCAAACUGUCUGGCUUGAGACCGGGAGAGGUGAGUGGAAUUCCCAGUGUAGCGGUGAAAUGCGUAGAUAUUGGGAGGAACACCAGUGGCGAAGGCGGCUACCUGGACCGGUUCUGACGCUGAUGCGCGAAAGCGUGGGUAGCAAACAGG